ACUAGUUCUACUCACUCAAGUAUGACGGGAGAGAACAUUUUUGUUCCAAGUUCCAAGUAUCUGUAAUCCUUUCAAAAGUAAUUGUACAUUUGUGUAUAAACAGAAACUACUAGUGCUUCUAUUUUGUAUUGUUCACUAAGGGGUCAUGCUGAUAAAUGGAGACAUAGUGAUCCAAGCAUUUUUAUUGCUCACGCAACUUACAUCAAUGUUUAAAUUUGUUGAUUUUAAUCUUUAACACCACCUAGUGGAAUUUGGAAAAAGCUCAUUGCCAUUUUCAAAUUAGAACCCAUCAUACAGUGCAUCGAAUCUACUGGCAUGCUGCCAUUUUCCUCACUUAUAUUAGUAAAGGUCCGAUACUCUGAGAUUCUAAUUCUGAAAAUUAAUGAACAUUAUGAUUAAUAGGGAUGACUGUCUCCAUUCUACACUCUGUAGUGAAAAAGGAAUAUUAAAACUGGGCUGUUGAGAUUAUCUUCAAAGGUCGCUCGUCCUUGAACUUCCCCUGUUAUAAGAGAAAUGCGAGUGCUUUUGGGAAAAUUGGAGUGCCAUUAUAUCAAACUUGCAGAGAAGAAAACGUGGUAAUUCCAAUGGGAAAUUCAAGCUAAAAUCAGACUUAUUCUGUUGGAAACUGUUGGAAAAUUCCAGUUCAAUCAUUAUUUGGUGCAAUGUGUUGAAGCUAUUUCAGUUAUGCAGAAAGAAUGAAGAAAUUGAGGCAUUUCCUUUGGGGAGGAGAAGAUUGAGAGAAGUUCUGAGAAGAAGGCACAGACUUAAGGUCAUUUGCACGGGAAUUAAAAGCGACUUGAGGAUCAAUUUCUUCCCACAGCAAAUGUUAGAAUCUGGAGUGCAUUGACUGAUUUGGGGUGGAGGCAGUGUAAAUUGAGAUGGAGAGGGAUAUGGACUAUUAUCUGAAAGGAAAUAAACUGAAGUGUUAUGAGGAAGGCACAUUGGAGUAGCACCAGGUGAUUUACACAGACAUUACAAGUAGAAUGUCUUCUGUGCUGUAAAUAUUCUGUGAUUCUACAAGAAAUUAGCAACAAAAGAUAGAUUUGAGCUGGAUACUUAAAUAAUAUCUGAUAAUGAUAUAAUAAGGAUCCCUCUAUUUUCAUAAUGGAAUCAGUCCAGUCACUCUGUACAGAACGUAUUCUAUAAUUUCUUAAAAUCACAGUAGAAAUGGAGGUGAGAAUAAUAAUUGUCCUAAUGAAUUGUCUGAAGAGAUAAGAACAAGGACAUGCUGAACUUUACAGAAGAAGGUUAUAGAUAAAUCAUAUUCUAAUUUCAACAAGUAAAUAUUCUGCAGUUUUUAAUCAACUGAUUUCUAUUAAAUCAUUACAAGGCAGUUGAUACAAUGAUAACAGUGGCAGGGGUCCAAUGCAUUUUUCUAGAAUAUUAUGAGUUUUUUUUAUUUUACUGAAAAUUUGAAGGUAUGUUACCAAUGUACUGUACUCAAUUAGCCUACGCAUGCAACCACAGAUGUUUAUCUAGACAUAUAUCCAAGAACAGCUUGACUUUCUUCUCUUGUGCAAAGUUAAUUUCAACAUUAUAAGGUAAAAACAUCUCUUAGAAUUGUACUGAUGCUCACUGUCACAUAAAUUGUUUCAUUUCUUGGGCAUAUUUCGUUAUUUUUACUGGCAUUCAGGGUUGAUCAUUCAUUCCAGAAGCUGACUAAUUUUACUUCCAUUCAUUUUAAAGGAAGUGAAAAUCGAGUAACCUACAACGCUAGCUUUAUAUCCUUAUGGUGGUUUGAA